rnacentral:rRNA from 1 species
CAUUACUGAGUUUUGGGUUAUCUUCUGAUACCCGAUCUCCCACCCUUUGUUUAACUACAAUUGUUGCUUUGGCAGGACUGUCUGUUUUUUUUUUCUUCCGAANAAAAAAGGGGACUGCCGGAGGAGGGUUUCACGACCACCUCUGGAUUGAUUUGCCUGUCAAUAGCCAAUUUAAAUUCUUUUUUAAUUAUGUCGUCUGACUUCUUUAAAUAAAUUUUUAUUUAAAACUUUCAACAACGGAUCUCUUGGUUCUGGCAUCGAUGAAAAACGCAGCGAAAUGCGAUAAGUAAUGUGAAUUGCANAAUUCAGUGAAUCAUCGAAUCUUUGAACGCACAUUGCGCCCUUUGGUAUUCCNAAGGGCAUGCCUAUUCGAGCGUCAUUAUCAACCCUCAAGCCUGGCUUGUUAUUGGGUCUAGAUCCCUCUUUUCNAANAAGGAUCGGCCUGAAAGAUAAUGGCGGUGUCACUAAAUGACUCCUGGUGCAGCGAGCUUUUUUAACUAGCAUACACUGGAAAGUCUUUAAUGAAACCUCGCCUGAAAAUCUCCAUUUUCUUCAAGGUUGACCUCGNAUUAGGUAGGAAUACCCGCUGAACUUAA